rnacentral:rRNA from 1 species
UACAGAGGUCUCGAGCGUUGUUCGGAUUCAUUGGGCGUAAAGGGUGCGUAGGUGGCUUGGUAAGUCGGAUGUGAAAUCCCGGGGCUCAACCCCGGAACUGCAUUCGAUACUGCUUUAGCUUGAGUCCUGGAGAGGAGAUCGGAAUUUACGGUGUAGCAGUGAAAUGCGUAGAUAUCGUAAGGAAGACCGGUGGCGAAGGCGGAUCUCUGGACAGGAACUGACACUGAGGCACGAAGGCCAGGGGAGCAAACGGG